AGUGAACGCUGGCGGCGUGCCUAAUACAUGCAAGUCGAACGAAGUGGCGCACGGGUGAGUAAUAUAUAUUUAAUCUGCCCUACACAGAGGAACAACAGUUGGAAACGACUGCUAAUACCUCAUAGUGUAGGAUGAGACUAUAUCGUAUCAGCUAGUUGGUAAGGUUAUGGCGUACCAAGGCUAUGACGCGUAACUGGUCUGAGAGGAUGAUCAGUGACAUUGGAAGGGAGACACGGGCCGAACACCUAGGAGAGUGAGCAGUAGGGAAUAGUGCGCAAUGGGGGAAACGCAGACGGAGCAACGGCGCGUGGAGGAUGACACUUUGCGGGGCAGAAACUCCGGUUAUCAAGAAAGCGGUACCUGAUGAAUAAGCACCGGCUAACUCCGUGCCAGCAGCCGCGGUAAUUC
rnacentral:rRNA from 1 species